UAGUUCGAUUAUGGCUCAGGAUGAACGCUAGCGACAGGCUUAACACAUGCAAGUCGAGGGGCAUCACGGGAGGUAGCAAUACCUUCUGGUGGCGACCGGCGCACGGGUGAGUAACACGUAUGCAACCUGCCCUGUACAGAGGGACAAGCGGUGGAAACGCCGUCUAAUCCCGCAUGCACUCUUCCGGGGGCAUCCCCGGGAGAGUAAAGGAGAGAUCCGGUACAGGAUGGACAUGCGGCGCAUUAGUUAGUUGGCGGGGUAACGGCCCACCAAGACGACGAUGCGUAGGGGUUCUGAGAGGAAGGUCCCCCCACAUUGGAACUGAGACACGGUCCAAACUCCUACGGGAGGCAGCAGUGAGGAAUAUUGGUCAAUGGGCGGAAGCCUGAACCAGCCAAGUCGCGUGAGGGAAGACGGCCCUACGGGUUGUAAACCUCUUUUGUCGGGGAGCAAUGCCGCCUUUGCGAAGGCGGAGGGAGAGUACCCGAAGAAAAAGCAUCGGCUAACUCCGUGCCAGCAGCCGCGGUAAUACGGAGGAUGCGAGCGUUAUCCGGAUUUAUUGGGUUUAAAGGGUGCGUAGGCGGAAUAUUAAGCCUGAGGUAAAAAUUCGGGGCCCAACCCCGUCCCGCCUUGGGAACUGGUAUUCUAGAGUGGUUGAGAAGUAUGCGGAAUGCGUGGUGUAGCGGUGAAAUGCAUAGAUAUCACGCAGAACGCCGAUUGCGAAGGCAGCAUACCGGCAGCCCACUGACGCUGAGGCACGAAAGCGUGGGGAUCAAACAGGAUUAGAUACCCUGGUAGUCCACGCAGUAAACGAUGGAUGCUAGCUGUCCGGGGCGAAUGAGUUCUGGGUGGCACAGCGAAAGCGUUAAGCAUCCCACCUGGGGAGUACGCCGGCAACGGUGAAACUCAAAGGAAUUGACGGGGGCCCGCACAAGCGGAGGAACAUGUGGUUUAAUUCGAUGAUACGCGAGGAACCUUACCCGGGCCCAAACGGCACAGUGAUACUUUUGAAAGGAGGUAGCUCUACGGAGACUGUGCCGAGGUGCUGCAUGGUUGUCGUCAGCUCGUGCCGUGAGGUGUCGGCUUAAGUGCCAUAACGAGCGCAACCCCUAUUGUCAGUUGCCAGCAGGUAAAGCUGGGGACUCUGACGAGACUGCCGGCGCAAGCUGAGAGGAAGGCGGGGAUGACGUCAAAUCAGCACGGCCCUUACGUCCGGGGCGACACACGUGUUACAAUGGCAGGCACAGCGGGAAGCCACCCGGCGACGGGGAGCGGAACCCGAAAGCCUGUCUCAGUUCGGAUCGGAGUCUGCAACUCGACUCCGUGAAGCUGGAUUCGCUAGUAAUCGCGCAUCAGCCAUGGCGCGGUGAAUACGUUCCCGGGCCUUGUACACACCGCCCGUCAAGCCAUGGAAGCCGGGAGCGCCUGAAGCGCGUGACCGCGAGGAGCGCGCUAAGGUGAUACCGGUGACUGGGGCUAAGUCGUAACAAGGUACCC
rnacentral:rRNA from 1 species